rnacentral:rRNA from 1 species
CCUACGGGUGGCAGCAGUGGGGAAUAUUGGGCAAUGGACGCAAGUCUGACCCAGCAACGCCGCGUGAAGGAAGAAGGCUUUCGGGUUUUAAACUUCUUUUAAGGGGGAAGCGCAGAAGACGGUACCCCUUGAAUAAGCGACGGCUAACUACGAGCCAGCAGCCGCGGUAAUACGUAGGUGGCAAGCGUUGUCCGGAUUUACUGGGUGUAAAGGGCGUGCAGGCGGAGAGAGAAGUCAGACGUGAAAUCCACGGGCUCAAACCGUGAACUGCAUUUGAAACUGUUGCCCUUGAGUGUCGGAGAGGUAAUCGGAAUGCGUGGUGUAGCGGUGAAAUGCGUAGAUAUAAGGAAGAACACCGGUGGCGAAGGCGGAAUACUGGAGGACAACUGACGGUGAGGCGCGAAAGCGUGGGUAGCGAACAGGAUUAGAUACCCCUGUAGUC